UGGGAUGAGGGAUACGGAAUGGCUGCAAAUAGAAUGCCAAGCCAGCCAGAGGCCAGAGCUGCCCUCCUGCCUCCAGACGCAAUCACAGACCUUCAGGAAAGAAUGUAGCCCCUUGUUGAAUGUGGACAGGGGGAGGGAAAGGGCUCGUUAUGUCCUUAUAGCCACUCUAACUUAGAAGGUGCUGUUAUUAUCCAUUUUGCAGAAAAGGAAGCUUGGGUCAAUGGUUCUUAGCUGGCACGUGGGCCCAUGCUUAACUCAUCUCCUGUACCACCUCCCUCAGCCCUUAUCAAGUUAUGACAAGGAGCCUGAGCGUGGGUAGAAGAGGAAGGGGACCUAAAAUCCAGGGCUUAGAGAGGAGAGAGGCAGUCUCAGCUGUGGGAACAGCACUUGCGAACAGGAAGUCUCCCCACUCCAUCCGCAGGUAAACAGUGUAAUCACCACUCAUUGGUCCACUCCAUUUGAGCAUCUGCCCCACGCAGAUCUUAUGUAUCAAGACUCAGAGAUAAUACAGUUUCUAUCCUUAGGCAGCUGCAGUGAUGAGAGAGGACAGACACUUUGCAAAGCAAGUACUCUGGAGGCAGCAUAAUGCUCACCAGAUACAGGAGCACUAGGGAACUUGGAGAGGGCAUCAGAGGGGCAGCCAACCCAGCUUGAGUUGAGGAGGGGUCAGCAAAGCUCCCUGGAGGAGUCUGAAAGACAGAAUAGAAAUAAGUGAGGCAAGAGGGAUGACAGGUGUAGGGGAGGGUUUUCAGGUGGAGGGGACAAAUGAACAAGGCCAUGGGAAGCCUAUGGGUGUGAGGGCUGCUGAGAAAGGUGGGCAUGGUAGGCAGAGGAAAGAGGGGAGUCAUGUGGGUGGGCAGGCCAGAAAUCACAAGCCUUCAAGGCAGGAGGAACCUGGGACAGCCAGACCCUCGGACAGUCUCCCUAGGCCAGCAUGGCCACAUCACCAUGAACUGGACUGGGUACAUUCCAGCCUAAUCGCAGCUCAGAUCAGCCAGCUCCGGAGGCAGCUGUGUGGACAUUGGGGCCGACCUCCACCCAGGGUGCCUGCCACGGCCUGGGUGGAGGUCGCCCCAAAGUGUGGUGGGGCAGCAGUCAGGGCAUCCAGGUCCUCAAGGAUUUUCCAGACCUUUGUCUGGAGACCCAGAGUUUUUUCCUCUCCAGCUUCUGAGCAACUGGGUGGGGCAGAGGUGUGGCUCCACCUGUGGGAGGAGCUGAAAAGAUCCUGCCUCAGGACCAGGACUUUGGUGAUCCUAGUUCUCAAGGGCCCCCUGCUCAGGCUGCUAUUAUCCAAAAGGGCCAAGGGUCAGGAUUGACCCACAGCUGGGGCCCAAGUCUACACCAUGGCCUCUACCAGGUCCAGCCACAGCCUGCGUCCCACAGAGCAGGAGGACACAGGCCAGGAUAUGGGAGCAACAGCCCCCAGUGCAGAAAUGAGUGGUCAGGUGGCCAGUGGGACCGCCGACUCUGUUGUCAUGUAAUAGUUUUUAUUUAUUAAACUUCUUUUCUUAUUUAUUUAAUAAAACUUUUAUUUUUUUAAUUAAAGCUUCCAUUCUUCUAUUAUGCAGAGAGCAGCUUUUUUCCUAAGGCAGUGGCAGAGCAUGGGGACAGAUGUCUUAAAUACACAACCCAAUGUCACCAAUUUCAACUUUACAUUAAAAAGACAGCAGAAGCCCCUUCCUCAUUAUACACUGGAGCGCAUCCUCCAUCUCCUCACCCCUCCCCCAACCCCCUCCCUCCUCCCCUUUCUUUCCUUGGCAUAAGAAAGCAGGUCUCUGGCAUUGGCAAAGAGAAAAGUUAAAGGCAGAGAAGCAGUGAAAGGAAAGGAGGAGGAAUCAGGCAGCCUCUAGCUAAAGGGUCCCCAUCCCACCUCACAGGCUAGCCAGGACACCUUGCAUUCCGGUAAGAUGGGGGUGGGGUGCUGGGAAUGAGGUAGGUGAUGGUGACUCCGCCUUGCAAGACGUCUGCUCUUCUUGUAUCAGGCCCAAGGACCUGGUGUCUUUAUCAGCAGGACCAGGCAGGGAGGAAGGCUCCCCAGCAGACCUGGCUGAUCGUCCCCUGGAGGCCAGCCAAAGUGUGCGUGGCCAUGGCUCAGAGCCCUCAUCAGUAACAGCACCAGCGGCCCCUGUGGCGGUGAGGGAGAUCAUUUAUCUAGUGUUUGCUAUGUGUCUGACCCUAGGCUUAAGUGUUUUUCAUUCAUUAUCUUUUUUAAUCCAAACAAAGUUCAGGAGAGUUUAUUAAUUCCAUUUAACAAAUGAGGCAACUGAGGCUCAGAAAAUUUAAGUGACCUCCCAAGUUUACACAGUUUACAUGUGGCAGAGUCGGGAUUCAAACUUGGUCUGACUGACUCCAGAGCCUGCCAGAGGGUGGGGAAAGCAGGGCUGACACUGCCUCUCCCUGACCAUGCCAGCUCACCCUCAAACCUGAGGCCUUUAGGGAAGUCCCUUUUACACUCUGCAGCCUGUCUGACCUCUUCUUCUUUUUUUAAAUUGCAUUUUAGAUUUUGGGGUACAUGUGCAGAACAUGCAAGAUAGUUGCAUAGGUACACAUGUGACAGUGAUUUGCUGCCUUCCUCCCCUUCACCCACAUCUGGCAUUUCUCCCCAUGCUAUCCCUCCCCAACUCCCCCCGCCCCUUCCUUCUUAAGCUCUGGUCUGCAGCUCAUCCUUCCAGAGCUGGAGAGGAGGGAGGACAGGCUCAGGAAGGUUCUACUUUUCCCUACCCUCACACCACUCCCCCACUUCCACCUGCCUCAUAGCUGUUUAAUUCCAUUGUCUCAAAAAUGAGAGCUGCUUGGGUUUUCCUGGGGAGGGAGCAGAGAGCAGGGCCAGAGCGCCUGGCACGUGGGAAGGGGCCUGAGCCGAGCUUGGCACACUGACCAGGCAGGGCCUGGCUAGCAUCGUCGUCCCACACGUCAGAGUAGCCACGGUCGCUUUGUUAGCUGGAAUUACUGCAUUCAGGAGGGAGGAGGAGAGAAAAGAGGGGUCCCAGGAUGAGGUGGAAAAGGGAAGAGGUGCCACAAACUCCUAGGGGUGAGAAUGAGCAGAGAUUUGUGGCUCAGGCUGGCAAGAAAGACUUGCCAGGGCUCCAUGAGUGGCCUCAGCCCUGGGACUCAGUUGCCCCCUGCCCCCACUGGUUUUCUCUUCCUCCCACCUCCUGCUCUGACUCCCUCAUGGCUAGAGCAACUGGGUCCAGUGGGAGCCCUGCCUGACUCCCACAUUUAGAAAAAGAUGUGUACUCCACCCUCAGCCCCAGAAAGAUUUACACCCAUCUUUUGUAUCCAUGAAAAUAUGAUUCAACAGGACCUUAGCUUCUUCCCAGGCAGCCACUGAUCUGCUCCCUCCUUCAUCUCCUAAGAGCACAGGCUUUGGAGUCAAAGAAACUUGGCUUCAAAUCCUGAUUCCUCUGCUUUUUAACUGUGGGACUCUAAGCAAGUUAGUUUGCCUCUCUGGGUCUUGGGUUCCCAAACUGGCAGAAUCCUGUGUUAAAGGAGCGAAUAAAAGAAUAUAUAAUAGCACUAAUGUUUGUUUAGUGCCCGUUAUGUGGCAGGACACUUCCUGUAUUAUCUCACUAAGUCCCCCUAAACAUUCGAUGAGGUUGGUGUUAUUAUUAUUGCUCCCAUUUUAUAGGCAAGAAAACUGAGGCUUAGGUGAAGAAAUUUGCCAAGGCUGGCAAGCCUUAGAGCUGGGAUAAGUGACCAGCACCCAGAUAACAUAGGUCAUGCUCUCAGCUCCCCUAAUGUGCUGACGGCUGGUGCCUCUGGUCGCCUGGAACCACAGGCUUGCUCCCUAGCCCACCCAGAAUGCUGACCCAGGGAGUUGUGCCAGGAUCCCUUCAUCCCAUGUCUUUUAGAACACGUGGCAAUUUCUCCUGGUCACCUCCCUAAGACUGGUCCUCUUUCCCCAGAGCUGGGGCCAGGGUUAGGGCUGGGACUUGACAUUGUAUGGGUAUGUGUCCAGGUAACAUAAGUGGGGGUAGUAGACCCCAGGAGGAGCCUAUGUACUUGGGGUGUGUUUGUUUUUAAUCUUCUCUAAUCUGACCACUUGACUGGGCCAGGAAGAGCCUGAGGAUCCACUGGGUCAUCACAGCCUUCCCAAGGGGUGGUUGCUUUAAGGGAGGGAUUUUCUUGAAUAGCUUCUCUUCCUCCUUCUUCAGCUCCUGGUCCACGGUCCACAAGUCACUAGCUCGGGGAAUGUCCUAGACCAAGCCCUGGCCCCUAUCACAGUUAAAAUAAAUGCACUUUUUCCCAUGUUGCUUUGAUCACCAUCUCCCCUCAUGCCCCAACCCCAUGUGCUUCUUGUGAACAGGAACAAGAUGAUGCUGUUCACCACCAUUCCCAGGCCCUGGUACAGCACCUGACAUAUGCGUGUUAAACAAAUGAAUGAACUAAUGGGCUUGCCUGGGCCCACAGUGUCCCAGGAAGGCUGAGAGGCAGCAGGAGGAUAUCCUCAGCGGUGAUUGCAGCAGAGGCAGAUCUGACCUCUGUCACCAGGAGAGAGGAACAGGCCCUACCAGCCUCAGCUUCCAGGACCAGUUCAUAAGAGAAAUCAAACUGGAGAACUGCCAAGGGGCAGGAAGGGCAGUGUUCCCCCACGCCCAGAUCAGUGAUUGAGCCGCCAGCCCCGGGCCUCCCUCCCCGCACUCAUAAAUGUGGUGCUCUGUCGCCACCUGGUGGAUGUAAUAGACGAUGCUGGGACGGCCCAGCCUUCCGCGUCUGGGGUAGGAUCCAGAAAGCGGCUUCCUUCAGGCGGAGGCUAAUAAGGAGGCAAUAGGUUUGGCACAAAAGCCCUCGCUAGAAGCCACGCGGAUGCCGCCACCAUUUGAACUUCCCAGUCCACAGAACUGUGAGCUCUACCUCUUUAUAAAUUACCUAUCUCAAGUAUUCUGUUACAACAACGCCAAAUGAACUAA